rnacentral:rRNA from 1 species
CCUACGGGCGGCAGCAGUGAGGAAUAUUGGUCAAUGGGCGCAAGCCUGAACCAGCCAAGUCGCGUGAGGGAAGACGGCCCUACGGGCUGUAAACCUCUUUUGCCGGGGAGCAAGUCUGAGCACGUGUGCCCAGGCGGAGAGUACCCGGAGAAAAAGCAUCGGCUAACUCCCUGCAGGCAGCCGCGGUAAUACGAGGGAGGCAGGCGUUAUCCGGAUUUAUUGGGUUAACGGGGUGCGCAGGCGGGCUGUUAAGCCGGCGGUAAAAAUUCAGGACUCAACCCUGUCGAGCCGUCGGAACUGGCAGGCUUGAGUGCACGAGAGGUAGGCGGAAUGCGUGGUGUAGCGGUGAAAUGCGUAGAGAUCAGGCAGAACGCCGAUUGCGAAGGCAGCAUACCGGCGCCCAACUGACGCUGAGGCACGAAAGCGUGGGGAUCGAACAGGAUUAGAUACCCCUGUAGUC